rnacentral:lncRNA from 1 species
UAGGCUUGGUCCUACAAGAGAUAGAGAAGGCACCCCCCAUUCCACCCGCUCAAACUGGGCGCCCUUCUAUUUCCUCGAAUAAACCACUUUUGUUCAAUUCCUUUUUGGAGGAAGAUCAGCAUAGACAACCUCAGCUAAGAACUGCAAAUGAGCUCGCUCUUAGAUGCAUGCAUCCCCCGCCUAGAAAUAAGCGGGAGAGACGAGACGCAUUAGCUCAGAUGCGGACCUACCAAAACUGAUCACGUAAGAGGAAAAGGCUCAAGGCCCAGAGAAGCCCUCUCGCAGAAAGAAGCAAUAAGACAUAUAACUACCAAGUCGGACUUCGCAACCCUGGUCGUCAUGAGCUGAUCUUUCCAAGAGAUCGGUGAACUAAGGAAACAAACCCCAUAGAAAAAUGAUACGCUGUCUUCUUUGUCCCAUCCAAGAGAUAGAGAUAGGAAACAUAAGUCAUUACUACCAUCCUCAUGAGAAAGACACAAUGCCUCGUACGAAAAAACGAGCGUCAAUUUUGGCCGCCUCGAAUUAACUCCUCUUGCAGAAAGAGGCGCUAAAGCAUAUAAUUGCCAGAGCAGGCCCUAAUGACAUCGGCCAGCAGAAGCAGGUAUAUCGAUGGCAGUUGCUGGAUAGUAAAAUAUGUUGUCCUCUACAGGCAGAGCAGCUCAGCCAUAAGCCUCAUAGAAUUAUAUUGCCUAAGGAAGUUUAGGCAUAAAAGGUGAAGGCUGAUCUCCCAUCCCGAGGAUAAAACUUUGGUCCUAUUCGAAUAAAAAAAUCAGAAUGGGUCAAAAGUCAUACCCUUGUAUACAUAACCCCAAAACGAGCUAUGCAAAAUAAGCUUGUUCAAAGAAGAGGUGAAAAUGAAACCACCUCGAUCGAGACACCAAAUGCAGAAAAGGAAAGGCCCACAUGGAGUGUUCACGAAAUAUUUCUUUCGAUUUAAACCACCGUAAGUGUACGGUUCGUUAACAAGUAAUAAAGUAGAUAUUUGAGUCCGAAUAUCGUCCCACAGGGAUUGAGUAGUUCAAUUCUACCUAUUGUAGCCUUAAUUGAAACUGAAUUAUCCAAAUUGAAUUCUUGACCUAAAGGAAACCCUAAUUAUGCAAAUGUUAUGAAUUAAAGGAUCUAAUAUGC